rnacentral:rRNA from 1 species
UACGUAGGUGGCGAGCGUUGUCCGGAUUUAUUGGGUUUAAAGGGUGCGUAGGCGGCUUUUUAAGUCAGUGGUGAAAUACCCCGGCUUAACCGGGGGGGUGGCAUUGAUACUGCAGGGCUUGAGUACAGAUGAGGUAGGCGGAAUUGACGGUGUAGCGGUGAAAUGCAUAGAUAUCGUCAAGAACACCGAUAGCGAAGGCAGCUUACUGGGCUGUAACUGACGCUGAUGCACGAAAGUGUGGGGAUCAAACAGG